UCGCGCGCACGCGGAUCACCCAUGUGGCUCCCUCCCGCGUCAGCGUCUCUGCCGCUUGGCGCGUCCUAGUUGGUCGGGGCUGCUAACCGGGCAGCUAACAUGGUGUAACUUUUUUAAAUUGCAUUUUAACACUUAGUUUCUGAUUUUUCUUUCAAAAAUACCCCUAAAACCCAAAUUUCACUCCUUUUCUCCAAAAUUAUUUUCAAUUAAAUCCCUAACCAAUUUUUUUAUCCCUUUUUAUUA
rnacentral:lncRNA from 1 species